rnacentral:rRNA from 1 species
GUUAGCAGCCAUAUCACCCUGCAGCCCAAGACUGGUUGCCCACUGAAGCUACUGAAAAGUAGGGUUGAGCCUGGUCAGUACCUGGAUGGGAGACCUCCUGGGAAAACUAGGUUGCUGCUGGAA